GACAGAUAGAGUGAGAUAGAAGAGUUGGCUGUUACGUGUAUAUGUGCAUGUAAGUGUAUAUCGACACAGGGGUGAUGGAGAAGGGGGUGAGACGGGAAUGUACAAGCAACGAACGCGGAAUGAAGAGAAAAUCAAUAAAAAACAAUCUUUAAGUUCGAAGUGGACCAACCUAAUGAGAGAAGAGGAAUAAUAUUACCACGAUGAUAUGAACAUAUGUAUAUUAUAUGAGCGCGUGCACGUGUGAGAUUGUCGUAAGAUUGUGUCACAAAGAAAACAGCGACCGCAAAAUAGAGCCAAAACAAAAAUAUUCUAACAUAUCGUUACGACAACGACGACACGACGACGAACGCGGAGCAACUCGAUAAUACGUUCAAGGCUGCCUACUCGCAAAUAUGUCACUAUAGAUACACGGAAUACAAGUUUACGCGCGCAAAUAUAUGUGUGCAACGUAAGCCCUAACAUGUGCACUACACACCUAAGCGAAAUAAUGCAAUGAAAUUUACAAGACAUGUGUAUCGAAGUUGAAAUUAUGGCAAAAAAAAAGAAAAAAGAAUAAUUUUUUGAAAUGCAAUUAUCUUUGUAACCAGUUAGGAAUAUGUGAGUUAAUUGAUGAUGCAUCGAUUGUCAAGAAAUUAGAUCAGAAAACGAUCGACGAUUUUUAACCUAAUUGUUUCCUUGGAUUAUUAUAUUUCUAUAAUUCUUUCGUCGCGAAAGAAAUAAACGAAAAAAUAUCAUAACUUUUUAAACAUUGCCUUGUUAUACCGAUAAACCUAAUAUGAUGAAAAUAAAUAUAUAAAACUAA